UUGUGUUCUUUUUGGUGACUAAGAAUGAAUCAUGAUUAUUUCUAUGCUUAAGUGAUUUUCUUCUGAAGAAAAUAAUUUUCUAAUGUAGGUUCACCAGAUGAUAUGGAUCAGACACAAACUGAGCCCAAUUUGUACUUAGCAUCUGUAUUUACAGGUGGUAAAGCAGUACCAUUCUUCACUUCUCAGACGUCACCUGCCAAGAUGUCCGUGACACUGCCCUCAGUGAAUGUCGAGGAUUGCCCUCAGAUGGUGAGCACGAAGCAAGGGGACACAGAGUCCUCGGGGACGGAUACCUUCUGAGGGGAAGUGAGAGCCAGCAUGACGUUUAUGCCACUGAUUUUGAAGUCAUUGUACUUUGGCUUAAAACCAUCUCUCAGACUAUUUUGGUCCUUAAGCAUAUUCUGAAAAACAAUUUAUUAUUUUUUAUUUAGGUAAAGUUUUUAAAUAAAAUAAAUAUAAAUCAUUAUGA